GCGUGAGAAUUUGCCUUUAGGAGGGGGAUAACAACUAGAAAUGGUUGCUAAUACCCCAUAUGCUUUCGAGUGAAAUGGAUUUCCGCCUAAAGAGAAGCUUGCGGCUGAUUAGCUUGUUGGUGAGGUAACGGCUCACCAAGGCGACGAUCAGUAUCUGGUUUGAGAGGACGACCAGACACACUGGAACUGAGACACGGUCCAGACUCCUACGGGAGGCAGCAGUGGGGAAUUUUCCGCAAUGGGCGAAAGCCUGACGGAGCAAUACCGCGUGAGGGAUGACGGCCUAUGGGUUGUAAACCUCUUUUUUCAGGGAGGAAUAAAUGACGUGUACCUGAAGAAUAAGCAUCGGCUAACUCCGUGCCAGCAGCCGCGGUAAGACGGGGGAUGCAAGUGUUAUCCGGAAUCACUGGGCGUAAAGCGUCUGUAGGUGGUUUGAUAAGUCAACUGUUAAAUCUUGAGGCUCAACCUCAAAAUCGCGGUCGAAACUAUUAGACUAGAGUAUAGUAGGGGUAAAGGGAAUUUCCAGUGGAGCGGUGAAAUGCGUAGAUAUUGGAAGGAACACCGAUGGCGAAGGCACUUUACUGGGCUAUUACUAACACUCAGAGACGAAAGCUAGGGUAGCAAAUGGGAUUA
rnacentral:rRNA from 1 species